GGAUGAACUGAGGGUAGCGGAGAAAUUCCAAUCGAACCUGGAGAUAGCUGGUUCUCUCCGAAAUAGCUUUAGGGCUAGCCUCAAGUGAUGAUUAUUGGAGGUAGAGCACUGUUUGGACGAGGGGCCCCUCUCGGGUUACCGAAUUCAGACAAACUCCGAAUGCCAAUUAAUUUAACUUGGGAGUCAGAACAUGGGUGAUAAGGUCCGUGUUCGAAAGGGAAACAGCCCAGACCACCAGCUAAGGUCCCAAAAUAUAUGUUAAGUGGAAAAGGAUGUGGCGUUGCCCAGACAACUAGGAUGUUGGCUUAGAAGCAGCCAUCAUUUAAAGAGUGCGUAAUAGCUCACUAGUCGAGUGACACUGCGCCGAAAAUGUACCGGGGCUAAACAUAUUACCGAAGCUGUGGAUUGUCCUUUGGACAAUGGUAGGAGAGCGUUCUAAGGGCGUUGAAGCAUGAUCGUAAGGACAUGUGGAGCGCUUAGAAGUGAGAAUGCCGGUGUGAGUAGCGAAAGACGGGUGAGAAUCCCGUCCACCGAUUGACUAAGGUUUCCAGAGGAAGGCUCGUCCGCUCUGGGUUAGUCGGGUCCUAAGCUGAGGCCGACAGGCGUAGGCGAUGGAUAACAGGUUGAUAUUCCUGUACCACCUAUA
rnacentral:rRNA from 1 species